UCGAUGCCCUAGCUACGCGCCGUCGACCUCCUCCUCCUCCUCCUCUUUGUUUUUAACGCUCGCUCGGCCCCCUCUCCUCAUACUCUCUCGGUUGAGCCCCAUCCCUAGCCCCGAUCGGCGAUCGACGAUUCCGCUUCUCCGCCGCCGUCGACCUCGCCGCCGUCUGAGCCCCGAUCGGCGAUCGACGAUUCCGCUUCUCCGCCGCCGUCGACCUCGCCGCCGUCUGAGUAGGUUGAAAUAUCUAUAGCAGCAGCCAAUUAAAAGCCACACACAGUUUUAUCCGACCGGAUCCCUGCUUCUGCUGCAACUUCUUUAUCGACCCUCCGGAAGAUUUUGGUUCGGCAUUCCCUUCUUCAUCGAAAAUGUUCCGUCUCUAUUGAAUCCUCUCAUUGAGCAAGUAGUCUCAAUUAAGAGAAAAGAAUUGCUCUAUCAUAAGGCUUUUACAAGGCGAUGUUAUGACCUCCAAACAGCUGAAGCAGAGGUGGAUCUGCUUGGUGAUGAGGUAGAUGUACUUCUUGGCCUAAUUCAGAAGAUAUACAUAUCACUGGACCAUUAUUCACCAGUUUUGCAACACUAUUUUGGGUCGCAAGAAUUCUUUCAAUAUCUUUUAGAAUGUUUAAUGACAAUACUCGCCCGAGCAAGGAGCAGAGCAGAGCUGAGCUUAAGAAGACUCCGGUCUGUGGACAAGACUCGCCCGAGCAAGGAGCAGAGCUUGGUUGACUGGGCUCGCCCCAAGCUUAAUGACAAUAUUGUAGAGAUGAUGAUGCCGACCCUUGAUACAUAUUGUAGAUUGUGUACGUAGGAAUUUGACUUGUAUGUUUUUAGAAUGUUUUUGAAGUACAAUGUAAUCAAAUAUGAUAAUAUGAAUGUAAUCAAAGUUCUUGUUUGUGACUCGUAUUUUGUUAUAUAUGUGAUUCAGUGUAUUUGUUUCUA